AAUUUGAACAUUUCAUUUCAGGAUUUGGGGGAUCCUUACCAGGUUGAAAAUUUUAACAGAAUUCUUAGAAGACUAAUUCGAGUUGAAACCCCCUGGGAUUGCUAGAGAACCCUUUUUACAGGGAGCUGCUAUUUGCUUCAGCAGGCAGAAUGCGUAGGUGGAGUGAGUUUGGUGGCAGUGAGAGGGGCCAACAGAGGUCCUCAGGAGUGAAUUAGAUGAAGGAAAUUGAGCAUCCACAAAAAGGAAAGAGUAUUCUCCUGUUUGCCAAACUUAAAAAUGCUGGAUGGAAUCUUGAAGCUACCAGAAGAUUGCUUAUCACCAGAAACCAAUAUUUUUUCAAAAAUAUGCCUUGUAUCCUAAUGCAGUCUGUAUAGAAAGAAAGCAAUCAUCAUUUUUGCUAAAAGCUAAUAAACACAGGACAUGCAUGAUUAAA
rnacentral:sRNA from 1 species